rnacentral:tRNA from 1 species
UGGCUGAGUUGUAAAGCGCUUGGCUUCCAAAUUAAGGGGUCCCAGGUUUGAUUCCUGG